GAGGGUAGAGCUCAGAGGUAGAGCGCAUGCUCAGCAUGCACAAGGUCCUGGGUUCAAUCCCCAGUACCUCCA
rnacentral:tRNA from 1 species